rnacentral:rRNA from 1 species
GGCUGCACGGGUGAGGAACGCGUGGAUAAUCUGCCUUAGAGUGGGGGAUAACUAGUCGAAAGAUUAGCUAAUACCGCAUAAGACCACAGGAGCUGCGGCUCAAGGGGUCAAAGGUUUUUCGCUCUAAGAUGAGUCCGCGUAAGAUUAGCUAGUUGGUGAGGUAACGGCUCACCAAGGCGACGAUCUUUAACUGGUCUGAGAGGAUGAUCAGUCACACUGGAACUGAGACACGGUCCAGACUCCUACGGGAGGCAGCAGUAGGGAAUAUUGCACAAUGGAGGAAACUCUGAUGCAGCGACGCCGCGUGAGUGAUGAAGGCCUUCGGGUCGUAAAGCUCUGUCGCAGGGGAAUAACACAAUGAAUGUACCCUGUAAGAAAGGAUCGGCUAACUUCGUGCCAGCAGCCGCGGUAAGACGAGGGAUCCUAGCGUUGUUCGGAAUUAUUGGGCGUAAAGCGGAUGUAGGUGGCUUUGUAAGUCAGAUGUGAAAGCCCAGGGCUCAACCCUGGAAGUGCAUUUGAUACUGCGAAGCUUGAGUGUCGGAGAGGUUACUAGAAUUGUUGGUGUAGUGGUGAAAUACGUAGAUAUCAACAGGAAUACCGGAGGCGAAGGCGGGUAACUGGCCGAACACUGACACUGAGAUCCGAAAGCGUGGGGAUCAAACAGGAUUAGAUACCCUGGUAGUCCACGCCGUAAACGAUGGAUACUUGUUGUUGGAGGUAUUGACCCCUUCAGUGACG